ensembl:rRNA 5S_rRNA 5S ribosomal RNA
GUCUGUGGCCAUAACACCCUGAAUAUACCUGAUCUCGUCUGAUCUUGGAAGCUAGGCAGGGUCGGGCCUGGUUAGUACUUGGAUGGGAGAGGAGAAUGGUGAUUACCAGAGGAU